rnacentral:misc_RNA from 1 species
GUUGGGUGGAGGGGCUUAUAAAGAAGUGUACAUAGGGUAUGAUCGUGUUGAGCAAAUUGAAAUUGCUUGGAACCAAAUUGUAGUAGAGGAAGCAUUGGAAAACCCUGAGAAUUUGUUCGCUGAGGGUAUUUUGUUGAAAUCGUUGAACCAUGAAAGGAUUAUGAAGUGUUUCUGUUAUUGGUUCGAUCCCAAGUCCAAAACUCUUAACAUGAUUACAGAGUUAUUCCCUUCGGGUAGCUUGAAGAAGUAUCUCGCGAAGUCUGAUGGUAAUGAUAAUGGUGUUGGUGCU